rnacentral:rRNA from 1 species
UACGUAGGGUGCGAGCGUUAAUCGGAAUUACUGGGCGUAAAGCGUGCGCAGGCGGUUCGUUAAGUUCGAUGUGAAAGCCCCGGGCUCAACCUGGGAACUGCAUUGGAAACUGGCGGGCUUGAGUGUGGCAGAGGGGGGUGGAAUUCCACGUGUAGCAGUGAAAUGCGUAGAGAUGUGGAGGAACACCGAUGGCGAAGGCAGCCCCCUGGGCUAACACUGACGCUCAGGCGCGACAGCGUGGGGAUCAAACAGG